UGGGGAAUUUUGGACAAUGGGGGAAACCCUGAUCCAGCCAUCCCGCGUGUGCGAUGAAGGCCUUCGGGUUGUAAAGCACUUUUGGCAGGAAAGAAACGUCAUGGGUUAAUACCCCGUGAAACUGACGGUACCUGCAGAAUAAGCACCGGCUAACUACGUGCCAGCAGCCGCGGUAAUACGUAGGGUGCAAGCGUUAAUCGGAAUUACUGGGCGUAAAGCGUGCGCAGGCGGUUCGGAAAGAAAGAUGUGAAAUCCCAGAGCUCAACUUUGGAACUGCAUUUUUAACUACCGGGCUAGGGUGGGUCAGAGGGAGGUGGAAUUCCGCGUGUAGCAGUGAAAUGCGUAGAUAUGCGGAGGAACACCGAUGGCGAAGGCAGCCUCCUGGGAUAACACUGACGCUCAUGCACGAAAGCGUGGGGAGCAAACAGG
rnacentral:rRNA from 1 species